rnacentral:sRNA from 1 species
UGCAACCAUGACAAAGUUUAUUCUCCUUACAGGUCUUGUCCUUGUACUGAAUUUGCAGCUGGGAACAGCCAGCUGAAGACUCUCCUGGCCAUUGGAGGCUGGAACUUCGGGACUACCCUGUAAGUCUUCUAUGGAAAGCAUGUUGUUCGUUUGCUAUUGAAAACAAGUUAGCCCCAUGUGAUCACUGUCCCCUUAGACUUCACAGUCUAAGACAGGGUAUUGAGGAUGUACAUAAACAAAUAUAUGAAUUAAAUAAAUUGCUACACCAGAACCUCAAUAUUAAGUGGAACACAAUUUAUUUCAUACAUUUAAUUUAGUGGACAUUUGGGGGCCCUAUCCACAGAGGUUUACUUACUGAGGUUCCCAAACAACCUCUUCUUAAAGUAUUUCAAAAGUACAAACCCUGAGGAGAGUGUUAUAGUGCUUCCCUCUAUUUAUCUUCUGGUGGGGGGAGGAAUGAGAAACUCACACAAAUAAACAAGAGGACUUCUUGGAGGGUACAUGUUUGGGGAAGGAACACAGUGUGCUGGGUUUGCCAGGUAUUCAAAGAAACAAGGGCAACUUGGGAGAAAGAGCAGAGUUGGGGGGAUAACAAAGUAAAAGGAAUGUUAAGAUACCAUGGCUGGGAAGAGAGGAGAAAACCAAGAACAUGCUUUACUCUGGGCUAUGGGUCCUGAUGAAGGGCUCUGAGGCAGAAAUUGAGAGCUUGAUUUUACUCCAAGGUGUUGGGACCACCAAGGCCUCACGCUGCCUUCUUUGGGUCUCCCUCAGUUUCACUGCCAUGGUUUCUACUCCUGAGAACCGCCAGACUUUCAUCACCUCAGUCAUCAAAUUCCUGCGUCAGUAUGAGUUUGACGGGCUGGACUUUGACUGGGAGUACCCUGGCUCUCGUGGGAGCCCUCCUCAGGACAAGCAUCUCUUCACUGUCCUGGUGCAGGUGGGGAAGGAAGUCCCAGUCUUUAGCCCAAAAAGAUUCAAAGUCUUUCUUUCCGAGGAGAAUUGGGUGGCUCUAGGGUAAAACAAAACUUGAAUUUAAACUGAUAGAAUAUUAGCAUUGCAAAGAUUCUUAUAUAUCAUGCAUUCAUUAAACAAACAUUUAAUAGCAACAACGAAACAACAUGUGAGCUGUGUGCCAGGCACUGCUCUACAUGUUGUUUUAAGAACCAUAACUCAUUUCAUCUUCAUAUUCACUCUAUGGCAUACAUACUAUAAGUAUUAUAAUCUUUAUUUUACAGAUGAGGGAACUAAAGUACAGACAGGGUUUAAGUAACUUGCCCAAGAUCACACAACUAGUAGGCAUCAUAACUGCCUCGCAGUUUGGCUACAGAGUCCAUUGCUUCUAAGCAUUACACUAGGCUGCCCGUUAUUACUGAUAUUCUGUGGCAGACAUUGUCAGGCUAAAUAUAAGAAUAAGACACUAUCCUUGGCUUUGAAGAACUUCUUCUGAGGUGGAAGACUGAAAAAAUAUGAACAAUGACAGUGUAUUGUGAUAAAUGCCAUGCUAGAGGUCUGCAGAGUACAAAAGUAACAAGGAAAGAGGGUAACUAAUUCUGCUCUGGGGCAGGAUCAGAAAGUGUUUCCUAGAGAAAGUGAUGCUUGGGCUCAGUCUUGAAAGAAACUAGUGUUAACCAAUUAAGUGAGGAUGGGAAUGGCGCAAAUGAUAUACAGGUAAGUGUGAGCAAGUGGGUGAGUAACGGCUGUGAAGUUGCAUGAAGAACAAGAUAAUGUGAGAACUUUUAUAUUAUGUUCAGGAAUUUGCACUUUACCCUUGACACAAUGGGACAGUUUUGAAGAAUUUAAAUAGUAGAGAGCUGGCUUUAACAAUAGAGGAUAAAUUAGAAGGAGAUGAGAAGGCAUGGAUAGAAUUAGGAGGUUAUUGUAGUAAAUCAAGCAAGAAAUGAUCAGGGCCCCAACAAAGGCUCUAACACUGAGGGAAGAAGAAGAUGUGUAUAAGAGAUAUCAAGAGGAUAGAAUCAAUAGGAUUUGGAGAUCAAUCGGAAAUAGGAAACGGAGAGGACCUCCAGUUUUCUGACUUUGAGGAUGUGUUUGAUUUUAAUGCUGUUAACUAAGACGGUAAAUAAAGGAAGAAGUGUAGAUUUGAAAGAAGAAUUGACCUUGAACUUGAUGAGCAUGAGGUAUCUGUAGAGCAUCCUAAUGGAACGCCCAGUAGGCAUCAGAUAAAUAUCAAUCUGGAGUUCAGGACAAAAAAGCUUGACUUGAUAUACUUGGUUUUUAGACUUACUGUCUCCCAAGACAGAUUGUUUGCUAUACCAUUCUAUGUAACAGAUCAUCACCCAGCCUCUGAAUAGUUUCAUUGUUAAGUAAUAGGUGAAAAGUCAAUUUACUUACUUGUUGAAUUGCUCUAAUGAUCAUAAACGAAUAUCUCUUUCUUGGCUGGAACAUGCCUGUAGUCAUAAUUUAUAACUUCUGGUCAUUGUUUCCAGUUCUUCCUGGUGAAGCAACAGAGAAUAAGACUGCACCUUUUGCAGUAUAUGGGCUUAAUGUCUUAAGACAGCUGUAAUGCCUUGUCUAUAAUUUCUCUUAUUCCAGUUAAAUAUCUUAGUUCCUUCAAUCAAUAACUACAUGACAAUUUUCAGAGCCAGUCUUCACUGGAACAUACUCUGGCACGCCGUAAUAGUGCAAUUAUAAGAACUAAACCCAGUACCCCAAAUGAGAUUACAGUCGCACAGAUACAGGUGGAUUAAUCUCUAGUAUUGAACGGGAACCUAUCAUCUAGCUGUUACCGCCUUCCUUAUUGGCCAGUUCACCAUUUUAUUUGAUGGGAUGUCAGUCCUGUAAAGUAGUUCAUCUACUUUAUGAAACAAAUUUCUAUACUGCUGGAUGUAGGGUAUCACUGCAACUGUAGCUUCAAAGUAUAGAGAUACAAUGGAGCUCUGAUGGUCAUCUGGGACCUGGGUUUUGGUCAUGACCUACCUACUAACUCACUGGGGGACUUUGGUGAAGUGUCCUAACUCUUAUGCAUAUAUUAGAUAGCCAGAAAAUUCAAUAAUAUUAUCUAUCCUAUCUACUUUAUUAGGUUGUUGUGAGACUAAAGUAAAAUAAAACAUGUGAAAGCAAUUUAAGAGAGAAGCAUUAUACAAACAUAUGUUUAUUAUUAUUAUUUAAGGAGCUAAAAUCAGCAUCAUAGCUGUCCUAUUACACCUUAUUAUUCUGUAGGAAAUGCGUGAAGCUUUUGAGCAGGAGGCCAAGCAGAUCAACAAGCCCAGGCUGAUGGUCACUGCUGCAGUAGCUGCUGGCAUCUCCAACAUCCAGUCUGGCUAUGAGAUCCCCCAACUGUCACAGUACCUGGACUACAUCCAUGUCAUGACCUACGACCUCUAUGGCCCCUGGGAGGGCUACACUGGAGAGAACAGCCCCCUGUACAAAUACCCAACUGACACUGGCAGCAACGCCUACCUCAAUGUGGAUUAUGUCAUGAACUACUGGAAGGACAAUGGAGCACCAGCUGAGAAGCUCAUCGUUGGAUUCCCUACCUAUGGACACACCUUCAUCCUGAGCAACCCCUCCAACACUGGAAUUGGUGCCGCCACCUCUGGUGCUGGUCCUGCUGGGCCCUAUACCAGGGAGUCUGGGACCUGGGCUUACUAUGAGAUCUGUACCUUCCUGAAAAAUGGAGCCACUCAGGAAUGGGAUGACCCUCAGGAAGUGCCCUAUGCCUAUCAGGGCAAUGUGUGGGUUGGCUAUGACAACGUCAAGAGCUUCGAUAUUAAGGCUCAAUGGCUUAAGCACAACAAAUUCGGAGGUGCCAUGGUCUGGGCCAUUGAUCUGGAUGACUUCACUGGCACUUUCUGCAACCAGGGCAAGUUUCCCCUAAUCUCCACCCUGAAGAAGGCCCUCAGCCUGCAGAGUGCAAGUUGCACGGCUCCAGCUCAGCCCAUUGAGCCAAUAACUGCUGCUCCCAGUGGCAGCAGGAGUAGCAGCGGGAAUGGGAGUAGCGGCUCUGGAGGCAGCUCGGGAGGCAGUGGAUUCUGUGCUGGCAAAGCCAAUGGCCUCUACCCCGUGGCAAAUAACAGAAAUGCCUUCUGGCACUGCCUGAAUGGAGUCACGUACCAGCAGAACUGCCAGGCCGGGCUUGUCUUCGACACCAGCUGUGAUUGCUGCAACUGGGCAUAAACCCGACCUCGUCUAUAUUCCCUAGAGUUCCAGUCUCUUUUGCUUAGGACAUAUUGCUCCUACCUAAAGUCCUGCAAUAAAAUCAGCAGUCAAAAC